rnacentral:lncRNA from 1 species
GGCCCACUGCCUUUUGACGAAAGGCGGUGGAGUUUCUGACGGGGAAAGGAAGAGACAAUUGCGCAUCGCGUCCCGCAGGCGUGGUGCGGCCAGCCUGGGCGGCAUAAAAGGCGCGGGAAGUCAGGUCCCGCUCUCACUCCCUCUCCCGACCAGGUCCAAGAUUCACGAAGCGGCUCCACGCUCAGCACCACGCCUCAUCGACACGUGGGCCAGUACCCUUACCACUUCUACGUUUUGUUUACUGUGUACACGGGAUUUCUCAAGCAAUCGGACUCCCUCUCCGCUACUAUGGUCCCACAACUGAUAUUCUCCAAUCCUUUGGGGCCUUCCACAUCCCAGGCCGGUACCGCAGGGGCCCCCUGCCCUACCCAGCAAACCCUAAGUGGCGAGAAGCCGGAUCACGCAGCAACUGCAACACGGAAGAGGGCUCGGGCGACGUCGCGUGAGGACAACAGCGCAGUGGGGUGAGGACGCAGCCGGCCUUCGCUUCGCCUCCCCCCCUCGGGGGCCUCCUCGGGCGGCUCUGAUGUGCACGGCGACCACACUUCCCAGAGGCCACUGCCGGCAAAGCGGCGGGUGGCACAGCGUCGCAGCCUCCACCUUUUUCGGCCGACGAUUGGACGACGCUGCAGGCGCCCAUCGCGCAGGCUCGGGGGCCCUCUCAUG